GGCUUCGUAGCUCAGCUGAUAGAGCGCUUGUCGUGUUUGGGUAGGGUGUUUCUGUCGCUGGUUCGAAUCCAGUUGAAGCCA